CUACGGGUGGCUCCAGUCGAGAAUCUUCCGCAAUGGACGAAAGUCUGACGGAGCGACGCCGCGUGCGGGAUGAAGGCCUUCGGGUUGUAAACCGCUGUCAGUGGGGAGGAAAUGCAUCAGGGUUCUCCCUGGUGUUUGACCGAUCCGCAGAGGAAGCGCAGGCUAAGUUCGUGCCAGCAGCCGCGGUAACACGAACUGCGCGAACGUUAUUCGGAAUCACUGGGCUUAAAGAGUUCGUAGGCGGCCUUUCAAGUCGGGUGUGAAAUCCCUCGGCUCAACCGAGGAAUUGCGCCUGAUACUGUUGGGCUUGAGGGGGAUAGGGGUGAGCGGAACUGAUGGUGGAGCGGUGAAAUGCGUUGAUAUCAUCAGGAACACCGGUGGCGAAGGCGGCUCAUCGGAUCUCUUCUGACGCUGAGGAACGAAAGCUAGGGGAGCGAACGGGAUUAGAUACCCGCGUAGUC
rnacentral:rRNA from 1 species